rnacentral:rRNA from 1 species
ACGAACGCUGGCGGCGUGCCUAACACAUGCAAGUCGAGCGGAGACAGGGAGUAGCUUGCUAUGAACUGUUUUAGCGGCGGACGGGUGAGUAACGCGUGAGCAACCUUUCCCAGACAGGGGAAUAACACACCGAAAGGUGUACUAAUACCGCAUAAGACCACGGGAUCACAUGGUUCUGGGGUAAAAGAUUUAUCGGUUUGGGGUGGGCUCGCGUCCGAUUAGGUAGUUGGUGAGGUAACGGCCCACCAAGCCGACGAUCGGUAGCCGACCUGAGAGGGUGAUCGGCCACAUUGGGACUGAGACACGGCCCAAACUCCUACGGGAGGCAGCAGUGGGGAAUAUUGGGCAAUGGGGGGAACCCUGACCCAGCAACGCCGCGCGGAGGAAGAAGGUUUUCGGAUCGUAAACUCCUGUCCUUGGAGACGAGUAGAAGACGGUAUCCAAGGAGGAAGCCCCGGCUAACUACGUGCCAGCAGCCGCGGUAAUACGUAGGGGGCAAGCGUUGUCCGGAAUAAUUGGGCGUAAAGGGCGCGUAGGCGGCUCGGUAAGUCUGGAGUGAAAGUCCUGCUUUUAAGGUGGGAAUUGCUUUGGAUACUGUCGGGCUUGAGUGCAGGAGAGGUUAGUGGAAUUCCCAGUGUAGCGGUGAAAUGCGUAGAGAUUGGGAGGAACACCAGUGGCGAAGGCGACUAACUGGACUGUAACUGACGCUGAGGCGCGAAAGUGUGGGGAGCAAACAGGAUUAGAUACCCUGGUAGUCCACACUGUAAACGAUGAAUGCUAGGUGUAGGGGGUAUCGACCCCUUCUGUGCCGCAGUCAACACAAUAAGCAUUCCGCCUGGGGAGUACGGCCGCAAGGUUGAAACUCAAAGGAAUUGACGGGGGCCCGCACAAGCAGCGGAGCAUGUGGUUUAAUUCGACGCAACGCGAAGAACCUUACCAGGUCUUGACAUCCACUUAAACUUACAGAGAUGUAAGGUGUGCUUGCACAAAGUGAGACAGGUGGUGCAUGGUUGUCGUCAGCUCGUGUCGUGAGAUGUUGGGUUAAGUCCCGCAACGAGCGCAACCCUUAUGGUCAGUUACUACGCAAGAGGACUCUGGCCAGACUGCCGUUGACAAAACGGAGGAAGGUGGGGAUGACGUCAAAUCAUCAUGCCCUUUAUGUCCUGGGCUACACACGUACUACAAUGGCGUUUAACAAAGAGAAGCAAGACCGCGAGGUGGAGCAAAACUCAAAAACAACGUCUCAGUUCAGAUUGCAGGCUGCAACUCGCCUGCAUGAAGUCGGAAUUGCUAGUAAUCGCGGAUCAGCAUGCCGCGGUGAAUACGUUCCCGGGCCUUGUACACACCGCCCGUCACACCAUGGGAGUUGGGAGUGCCCAAAGCCGGUGAGGCAACCGCAAGGAGCCAGCCGUCUAAGGCAAGACCAAUGACUGGGGUG